UAUAGUGGGAGUCCAAGAGGAUGUUGGAAAUGCUGGAGAAACGAACUUCUAAGGGACAGCAAGGGGGCAGCUAUUGGGACCUCACACCAGGGCUCAAGGAUACUCAAUUCAGAUGUGGUCCGGAGGACCGCAGAAUCUUCAGCUGCAAGCCUGUCUAGGAGGAGACUUCCCACCCCACUCUGUGCAGACACUUGGAUUGUGGAUAUUUUCCACAUUUUUUUAACUGCUUUUUUGGGAAACUAUUUUCCUUCAGCCUUGGACCAAGGACAAAAGCGUCAUUACUUGCAGUUGGUGGAGCUAUCUGAGGCCUAUAACCUACCCAUCCCCUCAUCCCAGAUUUAUGACUUCCUGAAGGCAGAAGGAAGAUGGGUACAAGAGUGGCACAGCAGGACAAUCUCUCCUCAGCCUGAGUGGCACAGGACAGCUGCUUUGUGUGGGCCAGGACAAAAGAGAAAGCAACCAAAGGGAGUACAAGAAUGUAGCUGAAUUCAACUGGACCAGCUCACCAUUGUCUUCCUGCCCUGGCUUUUCUCUGCCUGCUGCCUCAUUCCCUUCUGCUGACUGACCAUCUCCUUGGGAAGUUACCUGGUGGCCAAGGACUGCAGAGCCUCACGGCUUUUGGCUUCCAGUGCCAGAGAGAGGCUGAAUCCCUUUUCUCAAUUCCAGCUUGGACAAAUUUUGAGAAAUAAUUAAUAUGCCUAACUUGGUCAGAUGGCCAUCCCUAUGGUCAUGGUCAGGGCAUUCUCUGAAAGCACAGACCAUGAAGCACAGACAGGGUCACCUGGAACCCACCUCUGCUGGUCCCAGAAGAGAAAGAAUGGUUACGAGCCAACCAGCACUCCAGUGCAAUCUACUGUGGUAAGGCAUUAAUCUCUGUGAAGACUGCCCUUGUAUCUCUGGAACACUCCCAGGAAGUGGCUCCAGGGUGCCCCCAAAAUGCCAUUGACUAUUUCAUUGAUUAAAACUAUUAUUUGUCCUCUUUUAAUUUGUGUAUUUAUUUUUCCUUUUGUGUAUUUAUUUUCUAUUACUUGUUACUUUCAGAUAAUAUAUUAAAUUAUAUUAUAAUAAGCAUCUGUGAACCACCGGCAGUGUGGCCAUAUUGCACAGUUCUAGGAGUCCCACUCACAUUGUAAUUCAUAAUGGUUCCUGGAGUUAUUCGAAUCCCAGCCUGUACAGUGAUACUAGAUGACCUUGCUCACCACCCAUUCCAGAACUAGACCGCUAAUCAAAACACACAUGUACUCCUUCCCAUCCUCUCCUUCUGCCUCUUCUCUCCUAAAGAGCUAACCACAACCUUCUUUUUAAAUAUAGUUUACAUAUAUAUGCCUGCUGUGGCAGACGGUAUUUUCCAAAGAUGACCUCAACAAUAUUUCCCACUUAUAAGCUCAUCUUGCCAAAUGACUUUAAUACUUCUCACAUUAAAGUAAAGGGUCUAUGUCUUCUCCUUGAAUCUGUGCAGGCCUUUGUGACUGCCUCUAUCAGUAUGAAGGAGCUUAUGUUGUGUCAUCUCCAAGGCUAAGUCGAAAAAUGCUGUGCACUUUUAUCUUGCUUUCCUGGGGUGCUCCCUCUAAGGGAAGGAGGCAGACAUUUAAGCAGUCUACCUACUUAUUCAAUCUCCUUACUUGCUAUCUUUAGUUAGCUUGGGCUGCUAUAACAAAAAUGCCAUAGGUGGUAUGGCUUAAAUAACAAACAUUUCUCACACUUCUGGGGACUGGGAAGUCUAAGAUCAAGUGCCAGCUGAUUUGGUUCCUGGUGAAGACCCUCUUUCUAGUUGGCAGAUAGAUCCCUUCUUGUAUAUUCACACGAUGUGGCAGAAAGUGAGUGUUGGUCCCUUCAUCUCCUUAUAAGAGUACUAAUAUCAUCUUAGGGGCUCCAUGCUCAUGACCUCACCCAAACCUAAUAACUCCCAAAGGUCCUACCUCCAAAUGUCAACACACUGGGGUUUAGGGCUUCAACAUACAAAUUUGGGGAGAAUACAAACAUUCAGUCUUUAACACUUGCUAUAGGUUUAUUUAGAUUCUGUAUUUAUUGUUGAGUCAAUUUCAGUAGUUUGUGUCUUUCUAGGAAUUUUCCCAUUUCAUUUAGUUAUCUGAUUUGUUGGCAUGUAAUUGUUUAAAGUAUUCCCUUAAAAUCCUUUUUAUUUGUGUAAGGUCAGUGGUGAUGUCCCCUCUUUCAUUCCUGAGUUUAGAAACUUGGCUCUUCCCUUUUUUUCUUGGUCAGUGUAGCUAAAAAUUUACCUAUGUAGUAACCUUCAACAAUGCUCUUCAUUUCUUUACAUGGAGUCAAGCUAUUGCAAGAGUUCUUUCAUUUCAACCUGAAAGAACUCCUGUUAGUAUUUCUCAUAGAGAAGUUAUUCUAGUUAUUUUUCAUUAAUUUUUUGUUUAUCUUGAAAUGUUUACAUUUCUUCCUUUUUUUUUUUUUUUGUUUUGUUGUUGUUGUUGUUGUUGUUGUUGAGACCGAGUCUUGCUCUGUGACCAGGCUGGAGUGUAGUGGCGCUAUCUCAGCUCACUGCAACCUCCACCUCCUGUGUUCAAGCAAUUCUCCUGCCUCAGCCUCCCGGGUAGCUGGGACUACAGGUGCACACCACCACAUCUGGCUAAUUUUUUGUGUUUUUAGUAUAGACGGGGUUUCACCAUGUUGGCCAGGAUGGUCUCAAUCUCUUGACCUCAUCAUCCGCCCACCUCUGCCUCCCAAAGUGCUGGGAUUACAGGCAUGAGCCACUGUGCCCAACCUCUCCUUCAUUUUUGAAGGAUAGUUUUGCUUAAUAUAAAAUUCAUGAUU
ensembl:lincRNA